GGGGUGUCAAACUUACUCGCCAGCUCACCAGCGAUCCAGGAACACCGUCCCCAAGCUCUUGCUAGGAGGGUCGCCACUCAUGCCUCGUUACAGAUUUGGCGAGAAGAGGGAGAGACUGAGGGAGCAAUUCAAUUGGUAAAAAAUCCCCCAAAUCUCCAUCACAAAACCACACAGAGUCAUCUUCAUCUAGUUUUUGUAUGUGGGAAAUCAUGAACCUUCAAAGUUAAUGACAACAAUCAACCGCAAAGCUUGCUUUGGUAACAAUGGCAGGUGGGGUCUUAACAUUUGGAUCAAUCGAUCCAGCUUUCACAGCAAAAUCCGGCGGCCGGUCGGUUGUCAGGCGUUCGGUUCUGCCCCAAAUCAAUCGGCACCUCGUUCGUCUUCACCAAGAAUCAAUAACUCAAGAACCAAUAUUUAGAUCAACCCACCGGUUGCACCACCGCUGAUCAGUGGAUACAAUUGUGGGUAUGGUGGUUGGGGGUGGUCGUCGUUUUCAUUCUUUGCACCUGGGCCUAGUGUGCCGGUGGGUUUGAUACCUUGGUGUUUUUUAUGCUUCUUCGUGCUGCAGCAGAUGUCGUUGGAAGGUUCUUUAGAUCCAGGAAUGAUUAUGAUGAUGAAGAUUACUGGUAAAUUUUUGUGUAGAAGACCACACUUAAAUGUAUGAUUAUUUUUAGAUGUAUAGAUCACAUAACAGGGUGAAUAUCACUUGAUAAACUUGAUGUUGAUAUAAAUUUGAUUCGAGUA